rnacentral:rRNA from 1 species
AGAGUGGCGACCGGCGCACGGGUGAGUAACACGUAUCCAACCUGCCGAUAACUCGGGGAUACCUUUACGAAAAGAAAGAUUAAUACCCGAUGGCAUAAUAGAAUCGCAUGGUUUGAUUAUUAAAGAAUUUCGGUUAUCGAUGGGGAUGCGUUCCAUUAGGCAGUUGGUGGGGUAACGGCCCACCAAACCUUCGAUGGAUAGGGGUUCUGAGAGGAAGGUCCCCCACAUUGGAACUGAGACACGGUCCAA